AAUUUCUCUGUCCCUGUUAUUAUAAACUUUCCAGGCAACCUCUAGGAGUUUAUCCAAGUUUCUUAACUCUUCACCUUCCAGUUUCUGUAGCUUUUUCCUAAUAUCUUCCUGUGCCUGACCCAGAAAAAUAAAGGCAAGCUGAGUUCUUCCUUGCUCACUGUCUACUUGAAGAUCAGUAUAUCUUCUAGCUGCUUCCUUAAGUCUUUCUAGAAAGGCAGUGGGAGAUUCUUUCUUUUCCUGUCGAAUUUCAUACAACUUAGACCAGUUCAUACUCUUAGGUAUUGCCUGUUGAACACCAACUGAAAUCCACUCCUGAUAUCUCUUUAGCCUUAACAUAUCCACUCCAGAGGGGUCAUUAGCAUCCCACUCUGGGUCUGCAGUGGGAAAAUUAUAAUCCAGUGUCCCUGUCACCAAACCAUUUUGUAUGUCUUCUCUAGCUCUUUCUCUUCCUGCUCGAAGAACCAUAUCUCUCUCUGUCUCAUCCAUCAGAGUGUCUAAUAUGACAUGAAUAUCUUCCCAAUCAGGGUUCUGAGUUUUCAUUAUCAUCUUAACCACAUGAGCUACCUUAUCUGGGUUUUCUCUAUACGUUCCGGCUGAUUGUUUCCAUAUAACUAAAUCAGCAGGUGAAAAGGGUACCUUUACAAAGACGGGUCCAUUAGUUCCCACCCCUUGCCUUAGUGGUGCAAUAAUCAUUCUCUUUUGUUUGCCUGAUUUUAAUAUACCCUUUCCUGCCUGAGGCCACUCCAGGGCAAGUUUUCCUCGUGUUCGGUGAGCUACUGGGGCGUCUAGUUCAUCUGCUUCACUGUCACUACUUUCCAUUCUAUCUGUCUUCUUCACAUUCCCCCUUUGCUUCCGCCUCACAAUCACAUCCUGGACAGGUGAAUCUGGCAGCGGGGGCGUACAGGGGGGCAGACGGGACAGGAGCUGGUGAAGGAGGUGUAGGUGGGAGCGGAGGGUACCCUUGAGCUGGUGUUAGAGGGGGGAUAAAUCUUUCAGCGGGUGUGGGCGGGGGAGCAGGAUAGCUUUGAGCAGGUGUAUGUGGAGAAGGGGGGGUUCUCUGAGCAGGCGGAGGAGGGACAGGCACCUGGGCAGGCAGAGGAGGGGCAAGCACCCGAGCAGGCGGAGGAGCAGCUGGCACAGGCAGAGGAGGAUAAUUACCUUCAGCAGACAAAGGUGGGGGUGAAACAUAUUGUGCUGGCGCGAGCGAGGGGGGUGUAAGAGAAUCAGGUGGGGUCAGGGUGAGCAGGGUAGAACUUGGUGUUGAGGGGGCCGUGGUGGUUCCGGGAGUCAUGGGAGAUACCAAUAAUUCCGAUUCCAGUUCAUCUCUUUUUUCCCCCUAAAAUUUCACUUAAAACUGCAUGUUCCAUACAAUGCUUAUUUUGGACGCAAGCCAGACACUUAUUAUUCUCAAGCUUCAUUGCUUUCAUUUUGUCAAGCCACAAAACCGGUUUCUCAAGCAAGCACAGAAAUAAGUCAAUAUAUGGUAAUUGUUCUACCCUUCCAUCUUGUGUACAAAGCGAUCUAAGUUGCGUAAUAACCUUCACAUCAAAAGACCCGUUUUUCGGCCAUCUCUGAUUUUCAGGCAAAGCGUAUUUUGGCCAGUGAACAUUACAAUAUUCAAUCAACUUAUCUUUUCGUAAUUCCUGACCGAAGUUCCCCUCUUUCCAAUGUGCCAACAAACAACCCAACGGAGAAGGUAUAGAGGCAUUAUUGCUGCCCAAAACCUCUUUUAACCCUUUUAGUUUCUCCAUAUUACAGAUACAUAAAAACCACAGAUGCCGAACCUGCAACGCUUUCGCGAUGUCUGACGGACGGCUGCCUAGGCAAUACCACCAGGAAUUCCUUUUGCCCAACCAAGCGUAGCUUUCACUGCGUCUUAAUGGCAGGCCCCCAGACCAGAGAAUAAAGAACCUUACCUCUUACCAGGGGUCGUUGUGAGCGGCGAGGGUUGCGGCUCCGAUGGGCUCCCCGAGAAAUCACCCGGUGCCGGCUGGAGCGUGAUCGGGUCGCGGGGUCCUGGCUGCGCCCACAAGGUCCCAUCUGGGUCGCCAAAAAUGUUAGCGUAGGAAAACAUAUAACCACACGAAGGCGAUCAUAUGCGGUUCUUUAUUCAAGCGCGCGGGACACAGGGGUGAUGAUACACCCAAAUCUGAUGUCCAAAGAAUACAGAGUCGAUUCGUGAUUUUUAUAGUUUAAAUUAUACACAUGUUAACUAACCCCCACCCCUAGAUACUGAUUAUCCUAUUCCUUAGUUACUAUCUUAAAUCAUACCUACGCUUCUACCCUGAUCCACACUUGAUUUGGUUAAAACAAUGCUUCUCAAUUAUCCCCUGAGUUGCAGUCACACUUGAUUCGGUCAUUACAAUAGCAUGGAGCUGUUUGCAGAAGCUGACGCUUGUUCCGAGCUGAGCUGCGUCACGUUCCAGUUGUACGUUCUCUACUUUCCUCCCCCCACACAUACCUCAACUUAACCCAGAAAUUAUAUUUUUUAACCCUCCACCAACAGACUUGCUGGUAUUUUAUUGGCUAUAUUCAUAAGCUUUUCUCAGCAGUUUCUAUUUCCAAUUUUUAACGUCACUAUUCAAUACCUAGAAAUUGUAAAUCUACAAUGGUGAUGUUUGGUUCCUGUCUAAUUUCUAUGCUCUAUUGUGAUCCCUUUUACAUUUCAAUAUUCCAGGAGGUACUUCCAGGAUAUGUAUCCCAGCUGGUGGGGUCCAGCUUCCAGAUGUGGGGUCCAGCUUCUAUUUUCCAGGUCUAUCAAUCUUUGAUAGUGAUGUCCAGUUUCUCUUUUUCAAGAACCAUAAAUCAGCAAGAUGAAAUCUUUCUUCUGUAUCCAGGAUGUUUUUUACCAUUCUGUGAGAAAGCCUUUUUACAUUCUAAAACUACAGUUUAAAAUUCUUUAAUACAAAACACACUUCUAAAGUUAUAAUUCAAAGACUCUUAUUACAGAAUAGCUUGAGAUUUGUAAUAGGUAAAUGGAAGCAAAGUUUGUUCAAAAACCUUCUUCCAUGCUUUCCUUGGUUGUUUAUUAGAACUCAUCUUUAUAACUGUCUUAUGGCUGUGUUCUACAAUUACAAAUUACAAUUACACAGACUCUUUUUAUUUCCCUGACACGAAACACAACUUUGUAUUUCACAUCUUGGUCCCUCAACUUCUCCCACCCACCUUAUCCAGAUAAAUUAUCAUCUGCUCCAUUUCCCCCUGUCCUAGAACUGAGGAAAGUAAGUGAAGAGUUUUCCUUAUAUUCUACAAAAUGUUUUAAUUAUUUGACAAUUUUGCUGUAUGAAAGAAGAGUUUUAAGGGCUCUUCUUCAGUUUCACACCCCUUUCUAACUGAAUGUUGCUGUUUGAUAGGCAUUUUGGAGCUCUCUUUGCCAGUCCAAACCCCAGGAGUAGAGAAGUAAAUGCAAAGCUGUCAGCCUUGGGGAGCUCCUGUGCUCUGAUCAGUGAAAGCUCGCUGCAUCAAAUGGCCCUUCUUUCCACUGAUAUUCUGGAGAUCCAGUUGUGCUAAGUUUGGAAAUUAAAGGAAAUGAUGUUUAACACAGCAAGAUAUGUUCAAGUUAUGUUCAGUAUGGAACUGGCAGAGACACUGUCUCUUGUGGGAUUUGCUGACCUAGAUGCUGUAAUGAACUUUCCAGUAAAGUCCAAAGCAAGGCUAAAGUCAGUCUAUUGUCUCUAUCUAGGCCUUAAUAACAGAGUGUUUAAAUGCCAGAAAUAGUUUAUAUCCUGCGUUCUGAGGAGUGAGUUAGGUAUCACAACUUUUUUGUUUCUGCUGGUAUGGGAGGCAGAGGAUUGAUGGCUCCCUCAUUCUGGGCUUCUUUUGUAAUAUCCAUAUAGUUUUUGUACCAGAAAUUGCCACUUCUGUGGGCUAUUUUUUCCCAUUCAUUUGUGUCUUUCUAAGAAGAAAGGAUAUAAAACUAAUUUUUUUUCUCCCUGAAAUCACAUCUGAACUCAUUUCAACAUUCCCUCUGCCUAAAACCAAACAAAACCAACAGUAACAACAAAACCCACCAGAAAAACUUGGAUCUUCGCAGUUUUCAAUUGUCAAAUGAUGCCUUUGGUAUGACUACCAGGGACUUCAACAAGAAGCUUUUACUGACAGCAGCAUCUUUCCUAUUGUGACAAAGAAGGAUGGCAAAGGCUAAUGAGUUGUAUCUUAAUGAGCAGGGCCUGCAGUGAGGAACUUGAUUCCAUUAAGAGAUCUUUGGAGGAAUUUUGGGAUACUAUAUUUCUUGGGAAAAGAACAAAGAAUUAAUACAGGAAGACAAAUUCAAAGCUACAGCUCAAUGGUUGUCACCUUCUUUUCAAAGAGCAUCAAAAUCUUUGACUCAGUAGAGGUAGCUUCCAGACCUCUCUCUCUCUUUUUUUUUCUUUUUUUUUUUUUCUUUUUUUUUUUUUUUUUAAAUUUUUUUUUGGUCUGAUUUUAGUGAUUGUUCCCUCUGUAUGACUUUCUCCCUGCAUUCAAGACUGUCAGGGAAAACUGUAAAUAAGAAUAUGUGUGAACAGUGUUUUAGUGUCUCCCACACAGCAGUCUGGAACUGCCUCUCUUUGUGUUUCUGAAGGUUCAUGGAUUUCCCAAAUCAGCAGGAGUUUAUUGAUCAAUAUGCAGGCAAGCUUCUGUUACUACUUUGGUUACUCUUGUGCUUUUUUCCUGGCUACAGAUAAUUAGCCUGGCACAUCUUCCAGUGUUGCUUACAUGCAGUAGUAAAUGAAUAUAACUACUUGUAUUGAGUUAUCUUUUUUUUUUUUUUUUUUUUUUUUUUUUUUUUU